rnacentral:rRNA from 1 species
UACGUAGGGGGCAAGCGUUGUCCGGAAUCAUUGGGCGUAAAGCGCGCGUAGGCGGCCCGAUAAGUCCGCUAUAAAAGUCCAGGGCUCAACCCUGGAAAGCCGGUGGAUACUGUCGGGCUAGAGUACGGAAGAGGCAAGUGGAAUUCCUGGUGUAGCGGUGGAAUGCGCAGAUAUCAGGAGGAACACCUAUAGCGAAGGCAGCUUGCUGGGACGUUACUGACGCUAAGGCGCGAAAGCGUGGGGAGCGAACAGG